UACGUAGGGUGCGAGCGUUGUCCGGAAUUAUUGGGCGUAAAGAGCUUGUAGGCGGUUUGUCGCGUCUGCCGUGAAAUUUCGAGGCUCAACCUCGAACUUGCGGUGGGUACGGGCAGACUAGAGUGUGGUAGGGGAGACUGGAAUUCCUGGUGUAGCGGUGAAAUGCGCAGAUAUCAGGAGGAACACCGGUGGCGAAGGCGGGUCUCUGGGCAACAACUGACGCUGAGGAGCGAAAGCGUGGGGAGCGAACAGG
rnacentral:rRNA from 1 species